ACUCUCAAGCCUCGGUAAAUGGCGAGGUAGCUGGGUUUGGGGAGAGGCGUUUAAACGUUCCGUCCACCUCAAGGGAAUCAGUCUUCCAGCUCUCUUGCUUCUGGAGGCCGCCGGUUCCGAGGCGUCGGGAGAAGGGUGCUCUCAGAGCCUGCGGGCUGGUGCUUCCCUCCUGACAGUCCCCGAGGUUGGAUAAGUACAGGUGGAGGGUAGCUGAAGAAAAAGCUGAGAAUGAGAUCUUCCAGUAGACAGUAUAGAACGAAAAGAGAAGGCAGCCUGCUCUCUUCUUGAAACUCAUCUGUUGAACUCUGGGAGACUACCCCAUCCUAGUUCUGUACCUGCCUCCCUACUUCUGCAUUUCAACUGUUGCUGAUCCACAAGGAUUGGACCUUCCCCCCAACCCCUUGGAGAACUUAUCUGAUGACUCAGGGUACAGGUUGCUCUGGAGCUCCAGCCCUGGGAACCCUUCUCCAGAUUGUAGAGAGAAGGAGGCAGCACAGUGUAGUGGAAAGAUCAUGGCCCAGUGAAUCAGGCAGAUGUGCGCCUCAUCACCUGGGGGAAAAAACUCCAAUCUAAACAUCCUGGUCUUCAACUGUAAGAUGACUGCCGAGCUAUGAAGUUGUUCAGAGAAUUCAAAAGGGUUUCGAUUUUGCAAUGCAUGUGAUUUCUAUGAUGGAUUCACUUGCCUCAAGCCACAAAAAUCUUGCUCGAAAUUUAAUCUUUUCUUCCCGACGGCUUGUACCACAGACCACUUUUACUUUUAUCAUCGUCGUACAGUUGCUAGGUGAAAGGGGUUAUGUUAUACAUAAAGAGAGAACAGAUCCAUUCCCCCAAUGCAUUUGAAGUAAACAAGGAACUGAAACCAAUGAAAAUGGAAAGCGGAAUGUUGGAGCCCAAGUUGGGUUACGUGGUGGCAAUGCAAGUCACUAUGCAAAUAAAGACUCUUGGGAGGUUAUGCAUGGGUUAUCUCUGAGGUUCCCCCAGUGUUUAUCUGCACUCUUUUGCUGCAUUGUAUGCUUUGCCUUUAAAUAAAAGCUGUACUCAGUAUGUUAUUUUUUAAUUUUUAAAUUAUAGUUGAUUUACUGUGUUGUUCCUAUUUCUGCUGUACAGUGAAGUGGCCCAGUCAUACGUAUAUAUACAUUCUUUUUCUCAUAUCAUCCCCUCUCAUGUUCCAUCCCAAGAGACUGCACACAGUUUCCUGUUGCUAUACAGCAGGACCUCAUUGCUUAUCCAUUCUAAAUGUAAUAGUUUGCAUCUACCAAUAUCAAACUCCCUGUCUAUUCCACUCCCUUCCCUUUCCCCUUCCCCUUGGCAAGCACAAGUCUGUUCUCCAUGUCUGUGAGUCUGUUUCUGUUGUGUAGAUAGGUGUUCAUUUGUACCACAUUUUAGAUUCCACAUAUAAAUAAUAUGUUUGUCUUUUGCUUUCUGACUUCACUUAGUAUGAGAAUCUCUAAUUGCAGCCACGUUGCUGCAAAUGUCAUUAUUUCGUUCUUUUUUGUGGCUGAGUAGUAUGCAAUUGUGUAUAUGUAACACAUCUUCAUAACCUAUUCAUCUGUUGAUGGACAUUUAGGUGGUUUCCAUGUCUUGGCUAUUGUGAAUAGUCCUGCUAUGUGUCUGCUGGCCAUCCAUAUGUCUUCUUUGGAGAAAUGUUUAUUUAGGUCUUCUGCCCAUUUUUUGAUUGGGUUUUUGUUUGUCGUUGUUGAGUUGUAUGAGUUGUUUUAUAUUUCUCAUAAAUUAAGUCCUUGUCAGUUGCAUCAUUUGUAGGUUGUUUUCUUUUUUAUGGUUUGUUUCCUUUGCUGUGCGAAAGCUUGUGAGUUUGAUCAGGUCCCCUUUGUUUGUUUUUAUUUCUAUUGUCUUGGGAGACUGACCUAAGAAAACAUUUGUAUGGUUGAUGUCAGAGAAUGUUUUGCCUAUGUUCCCUUCUAGGGGUUUGGUGGUGUCUUAUGUUUAAGUCUUUAAGCCAUUUUGAGUUUAUUUUUGUGCAUGGUAUGAAGGUGUGUUUUAGUUUCAUUGAUUUAGCUGCAGCUGUCCAGUUUUCCCAGCACCACUUCCUGUCUUUUUCCCAUUUUAUAUUCUUGCCUCCUCUGUUGAAGAUUAAUUGACCAUAGUGGGUUUAUUUAUGUUCCAUUGAUCUGUAUGUCUGUUUUGGUACCAGUACCACACUGUCUUGAUUACUGUAGCUUUAUAAUAUUGUCUGAAGUCUGGGAGAGUUAUACUUCCUGCUUCCCCCGCCCCCCAUCCCCCAGGAUUGCUUUGGCAAUUCUGGGUCUUUUAUGGUUCCAUAUAAAUUUUUGGAUUAUUUAUUCUAAUUCUGUAAAAAAUGUCAUGGGUAAUUUGAUAUGGAUUACAGUAAAUCUGUAGACUGCUUUUGUUAGUAUGGCCAUUUUAAUGAUAUUAAUUUUCCCAAUCAGGAGCAUUGGAUAUCUUUCCAUUUCUUUGAAUCCUCUUUAAUUUCUUUGAUUAAUGUUUUACAGUUCUCAGCAUAUAAGUUUUUCACCUCCUUGGUCAGGUUUAUUCUUAGGUAUUUAAUUUGGGGGUGUGUGAUUUUAAAAAGUAUUGAUUUUUUAAUUUCUUUUCUAAUAUUUCAUUAUUAGGAUACAAAAAUGCAACUGAUUUCUGAACAUUAAUCUUAUAUCCUGCUACUUUGCUGAAUCCAUUGAUCAGACCAAGUAGUUUUUGUGUGGAGUCCUUAGGGUUUUCUAUAUAUAGUAUGAUGUUAUCUGCAUAUAGUGACAGUUUUUACCUCUUCUCAUCCAAUUUGCAUAGCUUUUAUUUCUUUUGUUUGCCUGAUUGCCAUGGCUAGACCUUCAAUACUAUGUUGAUUAAAAGUGAUGAGAAUGGGCAUCUUUGUCUUGUUUCAGAUUUUAGCUGGAAGGCUUUCAGCUUUUCUCCAUUGAGUGUUAUAUUGUCUAUGGGUUUGUCAUAAAUGGCUUUUAUUAUGUUAAGGUGUGUUCCCUCUAUACACACUUUGGUAAGUUUUUAUCAUGAAUAGAUGUUGGAUUUUGUCAAUUGUGUUUUCUGCAUCUAUUGAGAUGGUCAUGUGGUUUUUGACUUUCGUUAAUGUGUUGUAUUAAAUUGAUUGAUUUGCAGAUGUUGAACCAUCCGUGAACUUGGGAUGAAUCCUACUUGGUCGCAGUGUAUGAUCUUUUUUAUGUGUUGUUGGAUUUGGGUGGCUAAAAUUUUGUUGAGGAUUUUUGCUUUUAUAUUUAUCAGCAAUCUUGGCCUAUAAUUUUCUUUUUGUAGUAUCUUUGUCUCGUUUUGGUAUUAGGGUGAUGGUGGCUUCAUAGAAUGUUUUUGGGAAUGUUCCUUCUUCCUCAUUCUUUUGGAAAAGUUUAGGAAGAAUGGGUAUAUGUUCUUCAUAUGUUUGGUAGAAUUCACCUGUGAAGCCAUCUGGUCCUGGACUAUUGUUUGUGAGGAGUGUUUUUAUUAAAUAUUCAAUUUCAUAUCUAGUGAUCGGUCUGUUCAGAUUAUUUAUUUCUUCUUGAUUCAGUUUUGGUGGGCUGUAUGUCUCUAGAAAGUUGUCCAUUUCUUCUAGGUUGUUAAAUUUGUUGGCGUAUAAUUGUUCAUAGUAUUGUCUAAUGGUUUUUUGUAUUUCUGCAGUAUCAGUUGAGAUUUCUCCUUUUUAAUUUCUUAUUUUAUUUGUAGUCUCUCUUCUUGGUGAGUCUGGCCAGAGGUUUGUCAAUUUUGUUUACCCUUUCAAAGAACCAGCUCUUUGAUUUUUUUUCUGUUUUUUAAUCUCUAUUUUAUUAGUUUCCCCUGAUCUUUAUGAUUUCCUUUCUUUUGCUGACUUUUGGUUUGUUUAUUUUUCUUUCUCUAAUUCUUUUAGAUGGUAGGUUAGGUUGUUGAUUUGAGAUUUUUCUUCUGUUUUGAGGAAGGCCUGUAUUGCUGUGAACUUAACCUCUAAGAACUGUUUUUGCAGCAUCCCAUAGAUUUUGAAUGGUUGUGUUACUCAGUAUGUUCUAUGAGUAAUUAUGCUCCAUUAAGAAUAAGUAUGUUCUAAGAAGUCUGGUGAGUCCCUUUCAACUAUCUAAACUUGGGGAAUCUUUGUAAAACCUCAAAGAAUACUCAAUAAAUUCCAAGAAAUGGAAAUAAUAUAAGCAAUAUUCAUUUACCACAUGUAGUAAACUAGAAGCUAAACAAAACCAGAAAGAUACCAUAACUAGGAAAUACUAGAAACAUGUUAUGAAGCAACUCUUAUGUCAAAAGGGAAAUCCAAAAUCAAAAAAAUGCAAAUUUUUUUUUAAGUCCACACCAACAACAUAUGGAAUUUCCUGGGCCAAUGAUGGAAUCUGAGCUGCUGUUGCAUUUGGAUUCUUAACCCACUGCCCCACAGUGAGAACUCUACAAAAACUUGGAAUUUUUUAACAGCAAGCUUGAAAAACAUGACAUGUCAGAAAACUAUGGAAUACAGCAAAAGCAUUUACCAGAGGAAAAAUCAAACG
rnacentral:lncRNA from 1 species